AUGGAAAGACAAAGUUGUACCAAAAAAGUUACAAAACAAUACACAAAAUUUGUUCAAAACCUAUCCCACAUUCCCCCUAAACCUCACUUCAUUCACUAUAAAAAUAGGCAGAAGAAAAUAGAGAAAUACAUACAAAAAUGCACACACACAAGAGGAGAUAAAAAACACAGAAAAUUUCAGAGAAAUUCAACACAAAAAUUUUAUACCAACAAUCUGAAAACCCUCAUCUUCAACCUUUCUCAUACCUCAACUCACCAUAUCUAUGCUACUUCAAACCUUCUGCAGAUCUCAGAAUUAUCCUACUUUAAUCAACUUCUCCAGUUCGCCUUCAUACUCUCAUCACUCUCGAGCCCUAUGAAACCUCCACUACCCUUCAGUUUAGUUUUCCAAAUUUUUCAACACAAAAACUGA